UACAGAGGGUGCGAGCGUUAAUCGGAAUUACUGGGCGUAAAGGGCGCGUAGGCGGUUUAUUAAGUUAGAUGUGAAAAUUCUGGGCUUAACCUAGGACGUGCAUUUAAGACUGAUGAGCUAGAGUAUUGUAGAGGGAAGUGGAAUUUCCGGGUAUAGCGGUGAAAUGCGUAGAUAUCGGAAAGAACAUCAGUGGCGAAGGCGGCUUCCUGGACAAAUACUGACGCUGAGGCGGCGAAAGCAUGGGUAGCAAACAGGAU
rnacentral:rRNA from 1 species